AAGUGAUAAAUGCCACUAAAAUAGUUUUUACCUGCAAACUGAACUACUUUGUAAUUGAUAGAUCAUAGUUGUUCUGAGCAAGAAUUUUGUACCAGCUAACACUUUACCAUUAAUAAUAACAGUAUUGUCCCCAGUAGUAUCCCCAUGUGUGCCACUGUCCAUUAGGGCAGAGUAUGGAAGGGAAACUUCCAAGGGUGAAGACAGGCCAAUAUGCAGAUCCCACAUGUUAGAGGUGAGGCUGCUCCCUUUGGCACCCCAGUAGCUCUGGGCAGUGUACUGCUGCUGUCGGGCACGGCACCACUUUGUCCAGGAUCUGUGCUAUUGCAUUUUGGUGGAGGAAAUAGUACAGAAGCUUCUGCUUUCGUUAAGGCUUUGCAGGUAGGGGUUUUUAAUUGUUUAGAAACAAGAAGAUUGCUGAUAACUAAAAUAUCAAGAUAGAAGAUAAAUUUUCCCUUUGGUGCUUCUAAUGAGUAGAAAUGAGAACUGCUGUUGGGUAGAUGAUUGCCAGACAUUCUUUCCAGUUUGGAUGGUUUCCAUUUAUUUGUUUAUUUAAGCUAUAGAUUCCCUGGGCACUGGACAUGGCUUCCACCUUGCUUUUAGUGCUUUUAGAGGCAAGCAGGACAGGAGACAGGCCUUCUGGGAUGGAGGGAACACAUCUGGGUGGAGAAGAGAGGAGAGUAAAUGGAGAAGCAAGAUGAGUUGAUGAAAUUGAGGCUGGGAAGUGAUACUACAGCUUCCAGAAAGACAUUCCAAACCAUGCAGUAGAAAGAUUAAUAAGUCCUUUCAUUAAUGUGGGAGAGUUUAGAAUAUAAAACACCUGUGGGGCUCCAGGGAGAUGCUUAGGAGAUAGGGUUCCUGGCUGAAGAGGAGGCACAGGAGAUCCUGAGGCCCAGGAGCUGCACAGCCUUCCUGUGGGUCCACUCCAGGGCCUGCCACCAGAAUCACCCCUUGUGUUAGCACCUUUUCUUUGCAACAGAGUUGAGCUGGGGCCAGCCAGCUCUCCUCUGUUUGUAUUCACAGAGGUGACCGCUACACAGAAGUGCAAAGCAAUCAGUUUGUGUGAGGGCAGGAAGAGAGAGAAAAUGGCUGCACCCUCCCCUCCCUCCACAGCGUACUGAGGCUCUCAAAAGUUUGAGUGUCAAAAGACAGCUUGGGUGUGCACGUCUGUGUCCUUAAGCUCCUGUGUGGCCUAACAUUUUUGUUCAUCCAGGAUGAACUUCACUGCAGCUCCUCAGAGGAUGUAUGUUCCACAGCUGGCUCCUGGGGGUCUUGAGGGGACAAGAUCUGACCUUGGCAUAAGGGCUUUCCCUGUUGAAACAUUUCUUCCUGUUCAUCUGGCUUCUGGGCUACAGCUACUGCAUGGGCCAGUUUCACGUGGCAAAACCAUGGGUUGGGCUGUGUUUCAUUCCAGGUCUGAAGUGUAACGUCUCUCCCAGUCCUGUGGAGACGGGUUUGUUGCUGACAUGUGGAUGAUGAUGCAUAUGGUUGCAUCUGAUGCAUUGCAUAUGGUCAUUUGAAUGGGCCCUCAACCCCCUUGAGCCUCAUGGUGCCAUGCUGUGCCCCCCGUACAGGUGUGGUCUCCUCCCCAGGUGCCGCUCUGUCAGGGGCAGUCAUGACAACGGCACCAUCUGGCUUUGAGAGAGAGAGAGAGGGAGAGACAGCCCUACCUCAUUGAUUGCAGCUUAUUGACAUUAGGAAAUUCAUUGUCUGCGAAAGAAGUUGGUAAUAAUUGAGUUAAUAAAUAAGGAGUGUGUGUGUACAGAUUAGGCAGUGAAUAACUUAUGGGUUUCCUGACUGCCCUGACAUUUUGCUUCUUCCAUUGCAUAGGGUGUGACGUGGGUUAGUGGUGGGAAUGGUGGUGGGGCACCCCAGGCCCUCACCUGGGGAAGGGACAGUCCCCACCACCUCAGUGUUCCUUCGGGGCUCGCCGUGUGUCUGACUGUGUCCCCGGGGGCGGGGAGCUUGGUUAAUGCUUUUAGUGCCAUUUUCCAACAAAUGAGAGAGAGGUUUAAAAAUAGUAACAGCCCUUUGCGCUUGACUUUUUUUAGGCAUUUUGAGAAAUAGCUGCAUCCCUUUGUCUGGGAGUCGGAGAAGAUGACCUGCUCGUAGAGGUCCUCCUUAGCUCCUGUGGGGCUGUGGGGGUGGCCCCACUCCUCUCCCCAGCUGUGUGUGUUAACUGUCCCCCUCCGCACACACUUAGUGGCAAGACGGGUCGUUUCAGGGAUGUGUUUUGCUUAAUGGGAGCUGGGAAAGGUGUGGUGCAGAAAGGAAACACCUCUCCUUGCCUGAUAAACCCUGCAUUUGUCAGCAAGACAAUUCCCUUUUGUCUAAAUGCUGCUGAUGCCCCCCCAGUUAUAGGGGCAGGGGGCUCAGGGGCACGAGUGCGUGUCGGUGUGUGCCACCGUGCAAGCUCAGGUUGAGCCAUUUGCGUACAGGCUGGAGCAGCAUUAUAAUUUUUAAUUGCAAUUUCAUUUGUUAUUCUCUCCCUUUCCCCCACCCCUCUCUGUAUAAUCUGGAUCAUUGCUCUCUGUAGCUGAUUCCGUGGGAGACCAAGCAGAGUGCGUGGGUGCAGAAUAUAGAAAGCCAGAGCCAUAGAAUCUGUUAUUUGCGUCAUUCUAGGAGACGGGGCUGUUUGCCUGACAAAUAUACAGAAUUAAUCCUGGUUUUAUCAAUAUCUGUCUUUUGCUACAGUAGCCAAAUACAAGUGUAAGGUGGUGGGGGUGUGAGCUGCUGCUGCUGCUGUUCAGACUGGGGGGGGGUUGGAGAGAAGGGGUGUUAAAAUAUAUUCCCUUCCCCCCCCUCCCCCCCCAAUGCUGUUUGCAUUGCAAAUACUAAAAACCUGAGAUUUUGUUCCAAUUUGGGUGGGUUUUUUUUUGCUAAAAUUGCCAUAGCCAUACCCGAGGAGGGGGUGCGUGGGGAGGGGGGGCACAUUUUCUUGCGGUGUAUGGCUAUGCAGAUUGCUCUCUCUGUCUGUGCUUCUGCAUGGGGUGUGUGUGUGUGUGUGUGUGUGUGUUUUGAGAAACACCUCCCUAUCCCCAGCGCAUAAGAUUCCCCCCCCCCUUACAAACACACAUUUGCACACCCCCCCCGGAUUUUUGUGCAACUGCACAGAAAGCUGCACACCACAAAAUAUGGGGCUUGCUAAUUAACUCUUUUCCUCGAAUUGAAGUGCCUUUCUGCAAGCACAAAGCUCCGAGCACAGACAUCUUUUAUGAUGAACUAGAGCCUCUGAAGAGGAGAAUCUGAACGUGACGUCAAUAGCUGAUAACUGACGCAGCCUUGCAAAGGAGUCUCAGGCUGGCUCCUUGCAGCCUGCAAGCCCUAAUGAUUCUAUUUUUUCCCCAGUCCCCCCUCGUAGUGAAUUACUAGAACGCAAACACACACACACGCCCUUUUUUCAUAUAUAUAUUUAUAGAUCCUUUAUUCUCCAAACAAAGGAUGGUAUUUUUUUAAGGGGGAGAAAGGCAGGGGGCGAGGAGAGAAUUAAAAAAACAAAAAAAAAAAAAACAAAAAACCCCAGCAGCCCUUCUUUGUGCUGGGUGCAAUUCACCGUAUGGAGCCACCUCAGUCUCCCGGCAAAGCAUCCCCGCCUGAAACCCACGUUUGUGCACAAUGGCCAAGUGGUGCAUGGUGGUUGUUGUGUUUUCUCCCAAGCCCACUUUACAAAGACACUGCAAGAAGACAGACACAGUAAUGCUUGCAAGGCAACAGGCAGAGAGACAGACUCGGUACAACUGUGGAUUAGGGGUUUGUGCAGUAGGACAGCACGGAAGGCGGGCAGUUGAUGGUUUUUUAGUGGUUUUUUUUUUUAUUUUUUUUUAUUUUUUUUAAUUCUCUGCAAUGAUGCACCUAAAGCAACAGUGGAUGGUGGUGCAGAAAGAAGCUGGGGUAGGGGGACGCAUGGCUGGGGGUGGCUGUGUGCGGGGUGGGGGGGGGGGGGGGGGGGCGGCAGACUUAAUGCACAUUUAAUGUUUUGGACGUAGCGUUCCAGCGAAAUGCCUUUGUGUGUGGAUUUUUUCCCCAGUACCUGCUAAAAAUAGCAUCAGGGUUUUGAUCGCGUUCCAGAAAUAGACAGAGGGUUGCACUUGUAUAAAAAGCGAGCGCGGGUGGAAGAAAACCUGGACAUCACCGCAGUAUUUUUUUCCAACUCCUGUCUGGAAAUUAAUUGUUGGAUUCCCCCCACUCCCCCACCUCCCGAUCCCCCCCCCCCCCCCCCCCCCCCGCCCCCUCCCCUACCCGAGGAGUUCCCGCUCGGUGUGGCCGCGCCGUCGGGGCCGAGGAAUCUCUGGCACCGCAGGAGCAGCAGCCCACACCAGGAACGUGGAGCAGCCUCUGCUUCGGACAGGAGGACGUCCGUCCCAGGAGAAAGAGCAUCAGUUCUCAGUUGGGCCACCUUCCAUGCGAUGGAGCAACGUAGCUAUGCUGUAGGUUGCCUUAUGCUUGCAACACUGCAACCCCGAGGAAGUCUGCAUCUGCAGAGAUCUGCCUUCAUGCCUGGACUGAUAAGCGACGCUGGGGAAGCGUCUUGGCCAGAUGCUGCUGCAGUAUCCCGCCUCCUCAUCGCAUCGCCCUCUGGAAGACAGAAGUGACGAUCAGCAGCGUGGUGUUGUCCUGCAGGCAGCUGAGGAACCACUUUGACAGCAAGCAGGAGAACAACUAUGCAGUGUAAUCACAGCCUGUCUGUGCUCUUUCUAACAAAGUACAGGAGCACCCUAUUCCCAGCGAGGGGAUGCUGUAACCUCCCCCUGCUGACCUGUAUUCUUCUCCGUUACUGUAACCAAGCUGUUUCUUUCCCACGGCCACGCGUUCCUGCAGAUAUACCAAGGGUUCCCAUGCAGAUAGGUUUACAAAUUCAGGAAGGGCUUGGACAGAGCAAAAGGAGAAUGAAGUAAUUCCCAAAUAUUUGCACUGUGGCUGAUGAAAUUAGCAGGAGAGCUGAGUGGGUGUAUAGGGGUCUGCUGGGGGACGGAUGGAAGGAAACCUGGGGACAAACUGUCUCCUGUUCAACGUGCUCUGAGUGCUGUGUGAUAAAGGUGAAUCACCCAGCUUAGCUGCAGGUGAGCCAGCAGGACAGUGGCUGGGGCCGGGUCCCACUGCAGCCUGUGUGGGGGCUGUGUGCUGGGUCCGGUGGGCUUUGAAUCCCACCACAAAGACAGUGGCUGUCGACAAGGUCACGAACGCAGAGCUUCGCCUUCUGUUGAUUAUGUGGUUGUCAGUGGAAGAAUUACUGUGUAUCUAUGGGAAAUGUUAAAAAACAACAACGCCUUUUUUUCUUGAAUAAAUCUGUGAAACGAACCAACCUUUGUUUCUGUUCUGUUUCUUUGGGUUUCAUUCCCUUUGCGCUUAGCGACCCAUCGCUGUCCAACCCCCCCCCGGGCCGCGCGUGGGAGCGCUCGAACCGCGCCACGGCCGCGUUCUGGGCAGCGCAGCGCCGGUACUGCAUCGCGCCCGGCUUCGAAAAGCGAUCCCUGCCCUAAAGACGGUC
ensembl:lncRNA